CAAGAGGUCAGGGUCCUGGAAGUCAGAGCCAAGUCACAUCUGCUGGAGAGAGAGUCAGAGCUGGAGGUUGCAGAAGAAGGAAGAGUCUGGAAGUCUGCUAGAGUGAGUCCAGGAAAACAGAGAGUGAGCAGCCAGCAAGAUGACAUAAAGUAAAGGUGAAAGGCUGUUGUACUGGACCCAGCUUUCCCGAAGUCCACUUUGGUAAAGCAGUAAAAAGGUUAAUGGACAUGACCCCCAUUGGUGGUGAAAGGAAUCUUUUCCUUUACAAUUUUCCCAGCACUUUGAAGACCGACCGGGAUUUGACUCUGCGAGCAUAUUCGGAGCAAGAAGCCAAUGAAUGAAUGAAAAGAAAGGAUAUUCCAUUGAAUUACUGGGAAAACAAAGAGGAGCUCAGUGUUACUGAAGCAUGUCAGCCCUUUGGAGGAAGGCUGACUUUAUUAGAAGGAAAUUUACAAUGCAAAACAAGAUUAAUCCAAACACAAACGGCAAAACGUCAUACAACAAACCCCAAGCGAGCCAUCCAUUCACAUUCUAAUAUUAUCUGGGGCAAGAAGACCACCAUAAUUCUCCCAAUUGAUGUAAUGAAUAUAAUCUGACCAUAUAACAUAAAAAGAGUUAUUUGCGGUCUGAUUUGCACAAGACUGAAUAAUAUGAGAUAACUUUUGUGAUAUUGCAAUAUGACAUAGAUGCUUAUACCAGUUAUGCAUAUUGACAUGGUUUGAUUUUUCCUGUGCAUGGCUAUAGUUAACCUGGCCGCAGUUACCAUAAAACACCACUAGUUUUUUUGUGGGUUGUUUUUUUUUUUUUGGUUUUUGUUUUAAUGACACAUCUGUGUUGACCCCAGAAAAUAUAUUUACUAAUGCCAGCUGGGGGCAUAAACCUAUUUUCUGAUUUGUGAUUUUGCAAUGAUUAGUUACCCGUAGCAUGAAGAGAGAGAAGGAGGCUGCUAAACCUCUCCUCCUCCUCCGUGCUCCUGGUACACUUUCAAAGCUUGCAAAGAUUAAUUUUGAAGUGGGGGGUGACCCCCACCAGGGCAUAUAGUGCAAGACCAUCACGUUUUGCGCCUCACCUCAGGCACCACAAAGCUUUGGGCCACCCCUGGGCCGGCAAAACAGUCCACGUGGGCCAGAUCCAGUCCCUGGGCCUGUUGUGCCAGCCUGCUCAGAGGCAUUCUUAUCCCUGGACUUCUGGGCUGAAGUCCAGGGCCUGCACACUCCCUGGGGGCCUCCAAAUCCUCCAUAGUCUGUCCUGGGUGGUGCUGGCCUGCCACUGUGCCAAGUGGCUGAACGUGACCUCUGCUUUAGAGACAGAGAGGGGAGUGGGGAAAGAAAUAUGUGGGAAGGGAAUAUGUUAAAUUGUGUGUUGAAAUGCAUAUCGGCAUAAAUAUACCUGUUUUAUAUUCUUGCA